UUUAUAUGAGAUGGAAUUGGUUCUUUGCAGAUGAGUUCCCUUCAGUCUCUGGAGGUUGCUCUAAACUCUGUUAGCUCUUCUCUCACUAUCUUUUUCCCAGCCAGGGUAAUAGGAAUAGAAUGGCCUUUUGUUUCACUGAAACUCUGAAUUUAUAACCUGAUUUUUGUGGACCUGUGGGCUCAAAUGGGAGAGGCCCAAGUCCAAAAAUU
rnacentral:lncRNA from 1 species